AACGAACGCUGGCGGCAGGCCUAACACAUGCAAGUCGAACGCACCGCAAGGUGAGUGGCGCACGGGUGAGUAACACGUGGGAAUGUACCCUUUGGUUCGGAAUAACGUUUGGAAACGAACGCUAAUACCGGAUGAGCCCUGCGGGGGAAAGAUUUAUCGCCAAAGGAGCAGCCCGCGUCUGAUUAGCUAGUUGGUGGGGUAAAGGCCUACCAAGGCGACGAUCAGUAGCUGGUCUGAGAGGAUGAUCAGCCACACGGGGACUGAGACACGGCCCGGACUCCUACGGGAGGCAGCAGUGGGGAAUAUUGGACAAUGGGCGGAAGCCUGAUCCAGCCAUGCCGCGUGAGUGAUGAAGGCCUUCGGGUUGUAAAGCUCUUUCGCACGCGACGAUGAUGACGGUAGCGUGAGAAGAAGCCCCGGCUAACUUCGUGCCAGCCGCCGCGGUAACAC
rnacentral:rRNA from 1 species